UUACCGUAAAAACAACAACAGUGUGAGCUAUGUGAAAGUGAGUAUGGAUGGAGCUCCAUACCUUAGGAAAAUAGAUCUCAAGACAUACAAAAACUAUCCAGAGCUUCUCAAGGCAUUAGAGAACCUGUUCAAGUUCACGAUCGGUGAAUACAACGAAAGAGAAGGAUACAAAGGAUCUGGAGUUGUACCAACGUACGAGGAUAAAGAUGGAGAUUGGAUGUUGGUUGGUGAUGUUCCAUGGGAUAUGUUCUCUUCCUCUUGUAAGAGACUCAGGAUCAUGAAAGGAUCUGAUGCUCUUGCUUUGGACUCGGCCUUAUGAUGAUGAUGAUGAUGAUGAUGAAAG
rnacentral:lncRNA from 1 species